GCCCAGGCGCGCGAGCAGCCAGCCAUUCACUGGCAGCAAGUCCGGAUCGUGCCUGUGCCUGUGGCAGGAAUGCGGAGGCGCGAUCACCGUUGCAUGUGUACCGGGGACGGCAGUCCUCCUCCAGGCCGUCCCGCGGCCAACGCCUCUGCACCGCGCGGGCCUCCGUUUCGAAGCCGCUCCCCUCUCCUCGGGCACCACCAGCACCGCUCUUCCUCCCUGUUCUUCGCGGUAGGACAGCGCAGUAAGGACUGACAUGUCCACCGCUCAGCUUCAACAACGGCCCACGCAUGACCGACUUCUUGCAGCAGCCUCCCCGUCUAGCUGUUCUGAAGCAAAUGCUCUACUUUGUAUCAUUCCGCUGGUAGCUACGUCAGCAUACGUCUCUAAAGAUUCAUUUCAGAACAGCAGAACCAGAGUCUAGAACGCAGCCAACGAGAACCUGUGCGAGGAAAGCCAAGCGAUUUUCGCUGAGGAUCCCGCGAGGAGCUCUAAAAACCACGACGCAGAUCCCAGGCGAUGACUCGGGCUGCCAGACCACGAUUCUCUACAAACGGAUGAAUCCCCGUCCUUGAUGCGACCCCCAACCACAUCCACGUACUCGGUGAUGAACCUGUUAAUGUUCUCAAGUCCAUCUGAAGUGUAAAUGCCAAGGAUGAAGCACGUGCGUAAAGAGCAGGUGGGAGCGCUCUGCCUGCGAAUCCCCGGCUACAGCUGAGGACGCCGCUGGCAAACAGCGCGGUGUUGACAUAAGGCUGAGAGGCCCGCGAGGUGGGGCAGGAACUCUCGAAGCUACCUGAAAUAAUAAAAUAAAGUAAGAUGACAUAGCAUUUGAAAUGAAA